rnacentral:misc_RNA from 1 species
AAGGCGCAAAUCAAUAACGCGCAUUUUUUUUUUUAUUUCGAUUGAUUUCGAUGAAAUUUGAUAUUAUUUUGUAUUGUGCAUGCUAAAUUUGGAAUUAUUUGAUUCAUCGCACCUCUUUUCAUGUGAAGUGUGUGACGAUAGCUGGGUGUUCAUUUGGUCAACAAUUACCCGGUCAAUCGGGUGACGCCAGUCACCUCACCAAAGAAGUCCCGGCGCAUGCCCUGCCGCUGCACUGUCUGCUGUGAAGGGUGGCUGCCGGACGACUCCUAACGCAAGACGACAGUCUCAAUUUAGACACGGAAAGCAAGAGCGUGUGUAAGUUGCGAGAGGUGCAGCAAUGCUGGAAGGGGUGCGGUGCCGGUGGGACCUCUGUCCCACACAGCUGUGAUGGGAUCUCCAUCGGAGAUCGGGGUGGGACCGUGGGACCGGUGGGAUCUCCGUCCAUCCGCCAGUCACCUGAGAUGUCGCCCGUCGGAAAGUCGAGGACUUCUAGACUCUCCUGAAGUCUCAUGUCUGGCGAAGCAAGAUGCACCUUGAAGCUGGACCUAUCGUUGGUGGUGCAGCGUAUCAUAUCAGCGUAUUGGUAGUCCCACCACCGGACCACUGAACCUGCGGUGUUAAAAUUUCAUCUAGGAUGGGGUUCGACGUUCGUAAAACAAUGUGGAUUCAAACCCAUGCACUACAUGCUGUGAACGGAGCAGCAGCCAUGCAUGUGGGCGUCUCACUGGCUCCAUGACCGCUGCACGGUGUGCCGAUUACGGUCUGGGAACCCCGACAAGAUGGUGACAGCGGCACAGUCACCGGCGCUCCGUCUGCUGCUGCCACCU